rnacentral:rRNA from 1 species
ACGCUGGCGGCAUGCUUUACACAUGCAAGUCGGACGGCAGCACAGAGAAGCUUGCUUCUUGGGUGGCGAGUGGCGAACGGGUGAGUAACAUAUCGGAACGUACCGAGCAGUGGGGGAUAACUAAUCGAAAGAUUAGCUAAUACCGCAUAUAUUCUGAGGAAGAAAGCAGGGGACCAUUUGGCCUUGCGCUGUUUGAGCGGCCGAUAUCUGAUUAGCUAGUUGGUGGGGUAAAGGCCUACCAAGGCGACGAUCAGUAGCGGGUCUGAGAGGAUGAUCCGCCACACUGGGACUGAGACACGGCCCAGACUCCUACGGGAGGCAGCAGUGGGGAAUUUUGGACAGUGGGCGCAAGCCUGAUCCAGCCAUGCCGCGUGUCUGAAGAAGGCCUUCGGGUUGUAAAGGACUUUUGUCAGGGAAGAAAAGGACAGGGUUAAUACCCCCGUCUGAUGACGGUACCUGAAGAAUAAGCACCGGCUAACUACGUGCCAGCAGCCGCGGUAAUACGUAGGGUGCGAGCGUUAAUCGGAAUUACUGGGCGUAAAGCGGGCGCAGACGGUUACUUAAGCAGGAUGUGAAAUCCCCGGGCUCAACCUGGGAACUGCGUUCUGAACUGGGUGACUAGAGUGUGUCAGAGGGAGGUAGAAUUCCACGUGUAGCAGUGAAAUGCGUAGAGAUGUGGAGGAAUACCGAUGGCGAAGGCAGCCUCCUGGGAUAACACUGACGUUCAUGCCCGAAAGCGUGGGUAGCAAACAGGAUUAGAUACCCUGGUAGUCCACGCCCUAAACGAUGUCGAUUAGCUGUUGGGCAGCUUGACUGCUUAGUAGCGAAGCUAACGCGUGAAAUCGACCGCCUGGGGAGUACGGUCGCAAGAUUAAAACUCAAAGGAAUUGACGGGGACCCGCACAAGCGGUGGAUGAUGU